GGAGAUUCAAAUUUGAAUUUGAAUCUAGGAUUUAGUGGGAUUACACAUUGGUAUAUGUGUGUGGUUUUUUUGGAAAUUGGAGAGCGGACGGGUUUCGUCGCGAAUCCGUGACCGAUCGAUGUGAAUCAAAAUCGUAGGUUUAUUGUCUCCGUUGUGCUGAUCGCACUAGUGCAAUCCGUUCGCAAAUCUGACAGACGGAUCUACGGGAAACGCGAAAAGUCCGCUGAGGGGUCAAAUUGGCAAAACGGAUAAAUCGCGAAGAGACCCUAUAUUUUAUGUGCCGAAUCGCGUGAGAUCGGACGUGGAGGUGCGUAUGUGUAAAAUACGCGCGCUGUGAGGGACUUGACAGAGAAUAUUAUCCCUGGGAGGACUAUCUUGCAAAAUGUACAUAUGUAUAUAGUAGUUGCACUAGGGUUUCAUGAGGAAACCCUAGCUUUUGGCCUUCUCUUUAGCCGAACUGAACCCUAGCCGCCCCACCUGCAUCCCUGCCCAACCGUGCGCGCGCCCUGACCGCCGGCAAGCCCCUCCGGCCACCGGAAAACCCUUCCGCACUACCCUCUCCCUUCCUCUCGGCCAACCACUCCACCACAUUGUGGUUGGGGUCUCAAGGAGUCAUCUAAGUCGGAGCGCCACCAUCCCCUGGCCGAGACCAACGUCCGGUACCAUCGCCGGACGUUUUCGCCGUCAGCACGCGCCGUUGGAGCCAGCUGAGCAAGCUGCGGCCAGCUCUGGUCAGCCCAGACCGAGCAGGCUCGAUCUCGGGUUUCGCGUGCGGCCACCGCCCCCUAUCGGCCACGCCGCCUUCUGGCGACAUCCCGCUCGCCGCCGCCCGCCGCCGCGCCGUCCCGGAGCGCCGACGGAGCCGCCCUAGCUCCUUACGGCCAACCGCGAUCACCCAGACCGAGCCUGGGUGAUCUCGGCAUCCGCGUGGCGCCGCUGCUCCCCGCCGGCAGUGCCGCCCUCCAGACACCUCCGGCGACCUCCGGCGUUCAUCCCCGGACGUCCCCGAAGCCAUCGGCCGCCGCUCUUCCACUCUGCGACCGUCCAGAGCUGGUGCGGGCCGAGGCCGAGCCACCUCGGCCACCGCACGACGCCACUGCCCACGGAGGGGCGCACUAUGAUGCCCUCGGCCUCCGGUGCUGGAUCGACGUCGCCCCGACCUCCUCCGGCCGCCGCCUUGCCGCCGUCGCCCUUGAACCCGAGAGCAGCUUGGCGGAUUGGAUCGCAGCCGCUGCGCCACCGGCCGCCUCCCGCCGCUGGCCAGCACCUGCCCUGGACACCAUCGACCGGCCGCGCUCGUCCCCGGUCGGACCGCCCGCCGUCCGGCCGCCGCUGGCCAGCCCUAGCUCUGCCCUGGCCGGUAAGCAAUGUUUUUGCUGUUCUGCGCAUUGUUUCGGUUUGGGAUCAAUGUUCCGACGACCUGAGGCUGUUCUGAUGCCUCCGGAGGUGAGCACGGUGAUCGUCGGUCAGUGCUGAUCACAGUGCUCACCUCAUUUAAGGUCAAAGACCCCCGGAUGAGUGAAUUUGAAGCAUUUUUAGUUUCAGCGCACAGUUUCGCUGAAGUUCGCGUCGCUCGCGCUCUUGCCGCAGUGGCCGGAAUUGCUCCGAAAGGUGAGCACGGCCUCCAGCAUGCCGAGACCUGUCAGCGGGUGUCUCGGUUUGGCUGAUUGACCCUCGGUUUGUGUUGUCGGGCAAUAACCUCGGAAAUCAUAUGAAAUAAUGUGAUUUUAGGUAAUCGGGAGGGUUUUUCCACAAUUGCACUUUUUGUGGUCGCUGUUGGCAGUAUGUGCGGACAGUGGGUGACCUCUGGACUGAUUGUCCAAGGCCCCAGGCCUUUUCGGAGAUCGAAAAUAGAUUUCUUGUGCGUUCGUCGGCAAAAUCCGCGGACGAAACGUGUUUUCGGUUCGGAAUUAUUCCGACGGUGCCUCGUGAUAAAUUGUUAUAUCGUUGAGCCUUGUUGGCUAGUCACCCACAUCGUUUUGAGGGUUCGGAAACGACGAGUGAGCGACGGUGGGUUCCAGUGUCAAAUUUGACACUUCCGGGAACCCGGAUCGGAAUGAUUAUCCGGUGAUAAUUGUUUCAAUGUGAGGCGGUGUUUUUGCUGCCAUGUCACACGAAUAUAUAUGUUUCGUGGCAGUGGGUGACUCGUAGCACUAGUCGGUGAGUUUCGAGACAGUUCGUGGGUCCCGGCAGAGUCCCGGUGCGGUNGGGUUUUCGCUCUUUGCUGUUCUUGCAUAAUGAGACUCCUCGUGCUCUGUGUAUGUGACCUAGAGUAAGGUGAGUGAUGUUACAUGUACCUACUAGUGGUAGGAGAUUCAAAUUUGAAUUUGAAUCUAGGAUUUAGUGGGAUUACACAUUGGUAUAUGUGUGUGGUUUUUUUGGAAAUUGGAGAGCGGGCGGGUUUCGUCGCGAAUCUGUGACCGAUCGAUGUGAAUCAAAAUCGUAGGUUUAUUGUCUCCGUUGUGCUGAUCGCACUAGUACGAUCCGUUCGCAAAUCUAACGGACGGAUCUACGGGAACGCGAAAAGUCCGCAGAGGGGUCAAAUUGGCAAAACGGAUAAAUCGCGAAGAGACCCUAUAUUUUAUGUGCCGAAUCGUGUGAGAUCGGACGUGGAGGUGCGUAUGUGUAAAAUACGCGCGCUGUGAGGGACUUGACAGCGAAUAUUAUCCCUGGGU
rnacentral:lncRNA from 1 species